UACGGAGGGAGCUAGCGUUGUUCGGAAUUACUGGGCGUAAAGCGCACGUAGGCGGCUUUGUAAGUUAGAGGUGAAAGCCCAGUGCUCAACACUGGAACUGCCUUUAAAACUGCAUCGCUUGAAUCCAGGAGAGGUGAGUGGAAUUCCGAGUGUAGAGGUGAAAUUCGUAGAUAUUCGGAGGAACACCAGUGGCGAAGGCGGCUCACUGGCUCGAUACUGACGCUGAGGUGCGAAAGCGUGGGGAGCAAACAGG
rnacentral:rRNA from 1 species